rnacentral:tRNA from 1 species
GACUCCUUAGCUCAGUGGUAGAGCGUGUGAUUCCAGUGAUCCAGAAAUCUGAUGAUUGCGUAAUUCCACAAGGUCAACGGUUCAAUCCCGUUAGGAGUCA